rnacentral:rRNA from 1 species
AGAUUAAGUUAUUAAGGGCGCACGGUGGAUGCCUUGGCACUAGAAGCCGAUGAAGGACGUUACUAACGACGAUAUGCUUUGGGUAGCUGUAAGUAAGCGUUGAUCCAGAGAUUUCCGAAUGGGGGAACCCAACAUGAGUUAUGUCAUGUUAUCGACAUGUGAAUUCAUAGCAUGUCAGAAGGCAGACCCGGAGAACUGAAACAUCUUAGUACCCGGAGGAAGAGAAAGAAAAAUCGAUUCCCUGAGUAGCGGCGAGCGAAACGGGAAGAGCCCAAACCAACAAGCUUGCUUGUUGGGGUUGUAGGACACUCUAUACGGAGUUACAAAAGAACAUGUUAGACGAAUCAUCUGGAAAGAUGAAUCAAAGAAGGUAAUAAUCCUGUAGUCGAAAACAUAUUCUCUCUUGAGUGGAUCCUGAGUACGACGGAGCACGUGAAAUUCCGUCGGAAUCUGGGAGGACCAUCUCCUAAGGCUAAAUACUCUCUAGUGACCGAUAGUGAACCAGUACCGUGAGGGAAAGGUGAAAAGUACCCCGGAAGGGGAGUGAAAGAGAACUUGAAACCGUGUGCUUACAAGUAGUCAGAGCCCGUUAAUGGGUGAUGGCGUGCCUUUUGUAGAAUGAACCGGCGAGUUACGAUCUGAUGCAAGGUUAAGCAGCAAAUGUGGAGCCGCAGCGAAAGCGAGUCUGAAUAGGGCGUUGAGUAUUUGGUCGUAGACCCGAAACCAGGUGAUCUACCCUUGGUCAGGUUGAAGUUCAGGUAACACUGAAUGGAGGACCGAACCGACUUACGUUGAAAAGUGAGCGGAUGAACUGAGGGUAGCGGAGAAAUUCCAAUCGAACUUGGAGAUAGCUGGUUCUCUCCGAAAUAGCUUUAGGGCUAGCCUCAAGUGAUGAUUAUUGGAGGUAGAGCACUGUUUGGACGAGGGGCCCCUCUCGGGUUACCGAAUUCAGACAAACUCCGAAUGCCAAUUAAUUUAACUUGGGAGUCAGAACAUGGGUGAUAAGGUCCGUGUUCGAAAGGGAAACAGCCCAGACCACCAGCUAAGGUCCCAAAAUAUAUGUUAAGUGGAAAAGGAUGUGGCGUUGCCCAGACAACUAGGAUGUUGGCUUAGAAGCAGCCAUCAUUUAAAGAGUGCGUAAUAGCUCACUAGUCGAGUGACACUGCGCCGAAAAUGUACCGGGGCUAAACAUAUUACCGAAGCUGUGGAUUGUCCUUUGGACAAUGGUAGGAGAGCGUUCUAAGGGCGUCGAAGCAUGAUCGCAAGGACAUGUGGAGCGCUUAGAAGUGAGAAUGCCGGUGUGAGUAGCGAAAGACGGGUGAGAAUCCCGUCCACCGAUUGACUAAGGUUUCCAGAGGAAGGCUCGUCCGCUCUGGGUUAGUCGGGUCCUAAGCUGAGGCCGACAGGCGUAGGCGAUGGAUAACAGGUUGAUAUUCCUGUACCACCUAGUAUCGUUUUAAUCGAUGGGGGGACGCAGUAGGAUAGGCGAAGCGUGCUAUUGGAGUGCACGUCCAAGCAGUAAGGCUGAGUGUUAGGCAAAUCCGGCACUCAUAAGGCUGAGCUGUGAUGGGGAGAGGAAAUUGUUUCCUCGAGUCGUUGAUUUCACACUGCCGAGAAAAGCCUCUAGAUAGAUAACAGGUGCCCGUACCGCAAACCGACACAGGUAGUCAAGAUGAGAAUUCUAAGGUGAGCGAGCGAACUCUCGUUAAGGAACUCGGCAAAAUGACCCCGUAACUUCGGGAGAAGGGGUGCUCUUUAGGGUUCACGCCCAGAAGAGCCGCAGUGAAUAGGCCCAAGCGACUGUUUAUCAAAAACACAGGUCUCUGCUAAACCGUAAGGUGAUGUAUAGGGGCUGACGCCUGCCCGGUGCUGGAAGGUUAAGAGGAGUGGUUAGCUUCUGCGAAGCUACGAAUCGAAGCCCCAGUAAACGGCGGCCGUAACUAUAACGGUCCUAAGGUAGCGAAAUUCCUUGUCGGGUAAGUUCCGACCCGCACGAAAGGCGUAACGAUUUGGGCACUGUCUCAACGAGAGACUCGGUGAAAUCAUAGUACCUGUGAAGAUGCAGGUUACCCGCGACAGGACGGAAAGACCCCGUGGAGCUUUACUGUAGCCUGAUAUUGAAAUUCGGCACAGCUUGUACAGGAUAGGUAGGAGCCUUUGAAACGUGAGCGCUAGCUUACGUGGAGGCGUUGGUGGGAUACUACCCUAGCUGUGUUGGCUUUCUAACCCGCACCACUUAUCGUGGUGGGAGACAGUGUCAGGCGGGCAGUUUGACUGGGGCGGUCGCCUCCUAAAAGGUAACGGAGGCGCUCAAAGGUUCCCUCAGAAUGGUUGGAAAUCAUUCAUAGAGUGUAAAGGCAUAAGGGAGCUUGACUGCGAGACCUACAAGUCGAGCAGGGUCGAAAGACGGACUUAGUGAUCCGGUGGUUCCGCAUGGAAGGGCCAUCGCUCAACGGAUAAAAGCUACCCCGGGGAUAACAGGCUUAUCUCCCCCAAGAGUUCACAUCGACGGGGAGGUUUGGCACCUCGAUGUCGGCUCAUCGCAUCCUGGGGCUGUAGUCGGUCCCAAGGGUUGGGCUGUUCGCCCAUUAAAGCGGUACGCGAGCUGGGUUCAGAACGUCGUGAGACAGUUCGGUCCCUAUCCGUCGUGGGCGUAGGAAAUUUGAGAGGAGCUGUCCUUAGUACGAGAGGACCGGGAUGGACAUACCUCUGGUGUACCAGUUGUCGUGCCAACGGCAUAGCUGGGUAGCUAUGUAUGGACGGGAUAAGUGCUGAAAGCAUCUAAGCAUGAAGCCCCCCUCAAGAUGAGAUUUCCCAACUUCGGUUAUAAGAUCCCUCGAAGAUGACGAGGUUAAUAGGUUCGAGGUGGAAGCGUGGUGACACGUGGAGCUGACGAAUACUAAUCGAUCGAAGACUUAAUCAAUUUUUAAA